CAAAGGAGCAAGAUACAGAGAUUUCAUAAAACGCAAAGACUGUAUCAGUGUGAGAUUUCUGAAGAUGGCUACAACACUCAACCCAAGGUUUAAGAAUUUGAAGUGCCUUCCAAAAUCUGAGAGGGACGAGGUGUGGAGAAUGGUUUCAGAAGUCUUAAAAGAGCAACAUUCUGAUGCGGAAACUACAGAACCCAAACCAC